GCACUACUGAGCCCAGCCUGCAAGGCUCUGCAGGGUCUGGCCAGCCUGCCUUCCCCACCCCAACUUCCCCUCCAUCCACCCUAGGUUCUCUCUGUUUCCCAGAUGCUCAAUAUCUCCCCUGUCCAUCAGGCCUCUGAAUACACUUGCCUCCUCACCCCUACCUGGCUCGCCCAGCCAGCUCCUGCUUUUCCUUCUUGUCUCCCUUUAUGUACCCCUUCCUCCAGGAAGUCCUCCCUGACCUCCCCAACUAGUGCCUACAGAGUCCCCUCUGCCUCCCCGCCUCCCCUCCUCCCCGAUGGCACUGUUUAUGAUUGCUCACCUGCUUACCUGUCUGUUUCACCAGCUGGCCCACAUGGAGUAGCAGCUAAGUGCAGGGGCCCUGACAUCACGCAGUCUGGGGUCCAGUCCUGCUCUGACACCUGUUGGCCUGAUGACCCUUGGGUCCCAAGAGCUCCUGAUUGGCAAGUGACAUCUGUGGGAUGUGAGGCUGGUUGGAAGCCAGAGGUAAACUGCCAGGUCACUACCCCCACUAUGUCACAGGUGAUGUCCAGCCCCCUGCUGGCAGGAGGCCCCGCAGUCGGCUUGGCUUCCUGUGAGGAACCCAGGAGGGCCCUGCACCCAGCACCCAGCCCCGGCCUGCCGCCCCAGUGUCCUUACUACACCACAGAAGGCUGGGGAGCUCAGGCCCUGAUGGCCCCCAUGCCCUGCAAGGAGCCCCCCAGCAGGCUCCAGCAGGCCCCACAGGCUGGAGCCAAAGCCGGCUGCCUCCUGCAGUCCCCUGGGGAGCAGGCCUCGGGAGCCUUGGAGGACCUUGACUCCUACAUUGACUUCUCGCUGGAGAGCCUCAACCAGAUGAUUCUGGAACUGGACCCCACCUUCCAGCUGCUCCCUCCAGGGCCUGGUGGCCCCUGGGCUGAGCCCACCCAGAGCACUACCUCGAGGAGAAAGAAAGAAGAUCCUGAAGCUUUGGAUAUAAAGUACAUCGAGGUGACCUCGACCAGAUCAAGGUGCCACGACAGCCCCCAGAGCUGCUCCAGCCCAUCUGUCACCCCACCCUUGGACUCCCCUGGCUGUGGCGGCCUUCUCCUUUCCAGAGACAUCCCCCGAGAGACUCGGAGCAACAGUGAGAGCCUCAUCUUCUCCGGGAGCCAGGGCAGGGGGCACCAGCGCCCCUCUCCCCCUGCGGGGGCGCCCUCCUCUCAUCCCCCACCUUCUCCCAGCAUCUCCAUCCCUGGAAUGGGAAACAAGGCCUCAGGCCGCCAUGGCUUGGGCUCCCCACUGGUGGCUUCCCCAGCCUUGGAGAAGGGGCUGGGGAGCAGGGUCUCCAUGCUGUCAGCCAGCCCAGCAUCUGAUGUCAGUUACAUGUUUGGAAGCCAGUCCCUCCUCCGCUCCAGCAUCUCCAGCCAUCAGUCAUCUUCGAAAUCCUUGGAAAGCCCCACCAGCUCUUCCUCCAGCCUCCACAGCCUUGGCCCAGGGUCCUUGUAUACGAGAGCCAGUGACUUCCAGGUCCCCAGCCACCCCACCCCGAGCACUGGCCAGCCCAGAGCAACCCAUUCCUCACCACUGGCCGAGGAACAUGCCAGCAGCUGUCCCCCAUCCAUCACCAACUCCAUGGUGGACAUACCCAUCGUGCUGAUCAACGGCUGCCCAGAACCAGGAUCUCCCCCAUCCCAGAGGACCCCAGGACACCAGGACUUUGUCUGCCCUGGGGCUACUUCUUCCAGCAACCCCUGUCCAGCCACCAGGAGCCACAGCCAGACCCUGCCAGAUGCCCCUCUCACCACAUCCCCAGAGGUCUACAGGGUCCCCCUCCUCUGUCUGUCUCCAGGUCCUGCCAGGGACAUGCAGCCCACCAUGAAGUUUGUGAUGGACACGUCUAAAUACUGGUUUAAGAGAAGCAUCACCCGAGAGCAAGCCAUCGAGCUGCUGAGGAAGGAAGAGCCGGGGGCUUUCAUCGUGAGGGACAGUUCUUCAUACCGAGGCUCCUUCGGUCUUGCCCUGAAGGUGCAGGAGGCCCCUGCACCUGCCCAGAACCGAACAGGAGAGGAUAGCAGCGACCUCAUCCGCCACUUCCUCCUCGAGUCUUCUGCCAAAGGGGUGCAUCUCAAAGGAGCCGAUGAAGAGCCCUACUUCGGGAGCCUCUCUGCCUUCGUGUGCCAGCAUUCCAUCAUGGCCCUGGCCCUGCCCUGCAAGCUCGUCAUCCCGAAGAAAGAAUUGGGAGGUGGAGACGGGGCCUCAGACCUCUCUGCAGACGGCCGGGCCUCCUGCCUGAAGAAAUCUGCGGGUUGCCAUGCCCUGUACCUGAGCUCCGUGAGCGUGGAGACCCUGAGUGGAGCCCUGGCUGUGCAAAAGGCCAUCUCAACCACAUUGGAGAGGGAUGUCCUCCCCACACCCACCGUGGUCCACUUCAAAGCCACCGAGCAGGGCAUCACCCUGACUGACAUCCAGAGGAAGGUGUUUUUCCGGCGCCAUUACCCCUUCGCCACCCUCCGCUUCUGUGGCAUGGACCCCAAGCAACGGAAGUGGCAGAAAUACUGCAAGCCCUCCCGGAUCUUUGGGUUUGUGGCCAAGAGCCAGACCGAGUCACAGGAGAAUGUGUGCCACCUCUUUGCGGAGUAUGACACUGUCCAGCCAGCAUCGCAGGUCAUCAGCCUGGUGGGUGCUCUGCUGCAGGACCCAGAAAGGAUGUAGGGGAGGGAGCUUCCUGUGUGUCUUCCUAGGCACCCCAGUGGGCUUGCUCAGGAUGCCCCCUCCAGCCUGAGCAAGAGGCCUCUUACCACCCCGAUGGACCAAUCCCCUGGACUGGAGGAGAACGGUUGAAACCCUUGAACUCAGUAUGACCUUCAGCGGUGACCUUCAUCCAGACCCCCCCCAACCCGGGCCUCAGUUUCUUUAACCUUAAAGGAGGCCCACAGCAGGAUCAGCUGUUCUUCUCAGACGUCUGUGGGCAUCUUAACAAGCUCCCUGUGAUUCUGAAGCACACCCACAUCUGAGGACCCCCACACGAAAAUAACCUCUGAAGACCCCUGACUCCAUCCUCCUGGACACUCCGGACACAGUAGCCUGAGCUAGAGACCCGUGACCCCUGCUUCAGGCCAAAUGCAGAAAACCAAACCGGACUGAAGCGGCCCUGGGCUGGCGGGACUGGCUGAGACCAGCACCCCCGGCCUGUGGUCAGGCACUGCCCCACCCUGGAGACUACGGAAUCCAGACAAGGUUCUCAAGGUCACAGUGCCCACGUUCUCAAGGUCAUAGCCUGGGAGCUGGCAGAGAGCACCCCCCCCCCAUAUAUCUAUGGGGGCCUUGUAGCUCCCAUCAUGGAAAAUAAAGUGUCUGUCUUUGCACAA